GAUGAACGCUGGCGGCGUGCCUAAUACAUGCAAGUCGAGCGGUAAGGUCACUUCGGUGGUACACGAGCGGCGGACGGCUGAGUAACACGUAGGAACGUACCCCAAACUGAGGGAUAAGCACCAGAAAUGGUGUCUAAUACCGCAUGUGCUCUUCGGAGUAAAGCUACGGCGGUUUGGGAACGGCCUGCGCAUGAUUAGCUUGUUGGUGAGGUAAUGGCUCACCAAGGCGACGAUCAUUAGCUGGUCUGAGAGGAUGAUCAGCCAGACUGGGACUGAGAACGGCCCAGACUCCUACGGGAGGCAGCAGUAGGGAAUUUUCCACAAUGGACGAAAGUCUGAUGGAGCAACGCCGCGUGCAGGAUGAAGGCUUUCGGGUCGUAAACUGCUUUAUCUGUGAAGAUUAUGACGGUAGCAGAUGAAUAAGGAUCGGCUAACUCCGUG
rnacentral:rRNA from 1 species